rnacentral:rRNA from 1 species
UGGGGAAUCUUGCACAAUGGGGGAAACCCUGAUGCAGCGACGCCGCGUGAGCGAUGAAGGUUUUCGAAUCGUAAAGCUCUGUCCUAUGGGAAGAUAAUGACGGUACCAUGGGAGGAAGCCCCGGCUAACUACGUGCCAGCAGCCGCGGUAAUACGUAGGGGGCGAGCGUUGUCCGGAAUUACUGGGCGUAAAGGGUUCGCAGGCGGCAUGGCAAGUCCGAUGUAAAAGGCGAAGGCUCAACCUUCGUAAGCAUCGGAAACUGUCAAGCUUGAGUGAAGGGGAGGCAAGUGGAAUUCCUAGUGUAGCGGUGGAAUGCGUAGAUAUUAGGAGGAAUACCGGUGGCGAAGGCGACUUGCUGGACUUCAACUGACGCUGAGGAACGAAAGCGUGGGUAGCAAACAGG